GAUGAACGCUAGCGGCAGGCUUAAUACAUGCAAGUCGAGGGGCAUCAAGGUACACGAAAGUGUAUUGUUGGCGACCGGCGGACGGGUGAGUAAUAGGUAGGUAACCUACCUCAUACUGAGGCAUAGCUGGGAGAAAUUCCAGGUAAUUCCUCAUGAGGUUAUAUGACACAUGUGAUAUAAUCAAAGGUAUCGCAAGGUACUGGUAUGAGAUGGGCUUACUGACCAUUAGCUAGUUGGUGAGAUAAGAGCUCACCAAGGCGAAGAUGGUUAGGGGUUUUGAGAGAGAGAUCCCCCAAUUGGAACUGAGAUACGGUCCAGACUCCUACGGGAGGCAGCAGUAGGGAAUAUUGGGCAAUGGGCGGAAGCCUGACCCAGCCAUGCCGCGUGAAGGAAGACGGCCUUAUGGGUUGUAAACUUCUUUACUAUGCGACUAACUAGAUUUACGAGAUAAUUCUAUAGAAUGUAGCAUAGACAAAAGCACCGGA
rnacentral:rRNA from 1 species